CCAGUAUUUCCCCACUAAACCAAUCACUAGCCCAAAUUUUAGUUUUAAAUUCAGAUUCUAAACCAUCUUGUGUCAGCAUCUAAAUGCCACUUCUUUGUCUUAGUUCUAGCCUGUGUGUAACCUACUAAUGCAAAAAAUACUCCCCAAACUUUCCAUCCUCCUCUAUUGGCAUGCCAAAACUGGUAUUGUUCUUGAAGUAGUAAGACAAACCGUGCCUUAUGGCCACCCUGAGAAUCAUAAAAUAUCAUUUUUAUGAAUAAUUUAAUAUAAUUCCUAGUUUUUAUGAAUAAUUUAGUAUCACGUUGCAGGCCGUGGCGGCUCCUCCCAAUGGCUCUGGAUUGGAGUUGCAGUGACACAGAGCAGCCAGCAGAUGGCGCUCUCAGCACAGUCAAGAGAGGAAUCCUCGUGUGAAUCGAGGCAAACGCCAGGCGUGCAGAAACAGCGCUGAGAAUUCUUUUACCAUCGAGUAUCGACCGCUGGUCCCUUUUAGUACACGUAUAUGAGAAUGUCUACGUGCCAGCAUUUUGCUUACCUGGAAAUGUGUUCUCAGUGUGGAAGGAAAUUGCCACAUGACGCUCAGGAAUGGUAUAUGAUUUGAACCCUAAUGCUAACCCUAGCGGCUGGUACUGCAGUGCUGUAGGAAAAACAUCAGCUCUGUGUGCCCAGGAAGCAGGACCUUGCUAGGAUGCCUUUGCAGUCAUAUCCACUGACCUCAUCUUUUCCAAGAUGUGAGAACAAGAGGAAAUGUUACGAGUUCAGUUACAGAGCCAAGCACCCAGGAUACUUACUGGAAGGAGGAAAUGAUAAGCCACACUUUCUGCCUUGUUGAAUUCUUCUCUCUUGCAAAAAGCUCAUUGGAAAAAAUACAAAGCUCUUCCAAGAUCCACUUGCCAAAGCUGUACAAGCAGUUUCCUGAUUUGCACCAUGACUGAAGCCUUUAGUAAGUAAGAGCCAUUGGAAAAGCAGCUGUGGACUUACCUAGCCAACAAACUGAGCUCUCCCAGGCACUACUGCUUAUAUCCUUGUAUCAUACAGAUGCCAAAGACAGUGAAAGAAUGGGUGGCUCGUGGAAAGGAACAGCAAAGGAGAAUACUGCACAUAAGGAGAAAAAAACUGACAGAAGGAAAAAACUGAAAGAACAGGCUUCGAUGGCAGUGAGAAAGGAGGAGAUAUAAGGAUGAAGUUUAAUAGUAUUUUUGAACAUGCUUGCAACAGAACAGCGACAAAGGUGAGAUACGUAGGAAUGAUAGAAGAUAAAGAAAUUUAAGGAAGCACAGAAAAAAAUUGAGCUGGGAAAAAUAAUAAUAAAAGAAAUGGGUGUUUCUGGAUAAGCAGUGGGAAAACGACCACUAUAUUUGAAGGAGUGUCAGAAGGCAAACAUCUUUAUUCUUCAGGUAGGAAAGACUGCCUCCCAGUGGCCCAUCGAGUGAUGGAUGUAAUAGCUUUUCUGUGUUUCAUUUUGAGUUGCUGUUGGUGCUUUCAAAGAGUGAUGUGGCAAAUAUCUAGAAGAAGGGAGUCCUGGUUGUUGCUGUUGUGGGUUUUUUUUUAAGUAUAUUUCCUUUUUCUGUGUGUUUUCAGUAAAAUGAGAUAUGGAAACCCAAAGAAUGAGUGGAAUUAUUUGCAGUCAUAUGAGUAUUGAAGCAUCAGGAGAAAAAUAAAUGACACUGAUUGUGUGGAGGUAUUUCUUAACAGAGUGAACAUGGGGAAAGUGUUGCCCGUGGGAUAUUAAAUUUUUGUCUUCUGGGAUAUUUGUACCUGAGAUGGGCAGAAGAGCAGAAAGGGGACUGGUGAUA